CAAUAGCGUAUAUUAAAGUUGUUGCAGUUAGAACGCUCGUAGUCGGAUUUCGGGGCGGGCCGACCGGUCUGCCGAUGGGUAUGCACUGGUCGGCGCGUCCUUCCUUCCGGAGACCGUCCCUACUCUUAACUGGGCGGGGGCGGGAGACGGGACUUUUACUUUGAAAAAAUCAGAGUGUUUCAAGCAGGCAGCUCGCUCUUGCAUGGAUUAGCAUGGGAUAAUGAAAUAGGACUUUGGUGCUAUUUUGUUGGUUUCGAACACCGAAGUAAUGAUGAGAAGGGACAGUCAGGGGCACUCGUAUUCUGCCGAGAGAGGUGAAAUUCUCAGACCAGCGGAAGACGAACCACUGCGAAAGCAUUUGCCAGGGAUGUUUUCACUGA
rnacentral:rRNA from 1 species